rnacentral:tRNA from 2 species
GGGGUCAUAGCUCAGCUGGGAGAGCGCCUGCUUUGCACGCAGGAGGUCAGGAGUUCGAUCCUCCUUGGCUCCACCA